GCUCUCGACGUCGUACUCAGUAUAAAUUGAACUGGGCUGGCAAAGAACGCUCAGUUGCGACUUUGAAAUUGACCGUUACGGACGUGUUUUUUAUGCGCUCUUUUUUUUACAUUGACUUAAUCUUAGUUCAAUGAAAGACUUUGACAAAGACGGACGUACUUUCGUGAGCUCUGACUAUUGAUGAAAAGUUUUGAGUUUAACUGACUUGUACUUUGAGAGUUAAAUUGACUUCGCGUUAUAGAAUAGCGACUUGGUACUCGGGUUAUGGAAUUACUGGUGGACUGCAGUGUUAGGGUAUUGUCAUGAGAUGACGGCUUGACUUUUACUUGCGUUGUGAAAUGAAAUCAUGCUCUCAUGCGAUGAUAACUUUUGAACGUUUAGUACUGACUGACAACGAAUUUUUGUGAGCGACUUGACUUCACUUUAAGUUUUGACAUCGGACUGAUCGGACGUGUUUUUUUAAGCCCUGACUGUUGUGAAUAAUUAAAUUUAUGUUGUGGUGUCAAGCGAUUGACUGUCAGUUGAGGUUCAGAUGUCGAGCUGUGCGGACGUGUUCAUCGAGCUGCUGUCUACAAAAAACGGGGCUGUGGUGAGUAUUGUAGUAUAAAUUUGUUUCAAUAAAUCAUGAUGAAUGAAAACUGAUUUCGAUUCGUUUUGUACAGGUUUACUUGUAUAGAAGUGUAAUGCGUUGGGUAGAAAUUACUCAGUACUGAUAUAGUGUCGAUAUGUUGUGAUUAGCGAUGAUGGUGUAUGAUGGUGGAACAGAAUAUGAGCUUCUUUGGGGAAACGAACAUAUGAUUGAAAAAAAUUUGCAAACAUAGUAGAUAAAUGAUAUGAUAUUGCUUAAAUUGUAUUUGCAUGCUGUAACAUUUCUAUUUCAUUUCAGGGUGCUGUGGUGAGUACUGUAGAUUGUAGUGCAUAUGUAUAGAAUUCAAUAAAAGAUUAUGACUGAAAACUGCUUUUGAUUCUUAUUGUACAGUUUUAGGGAUUAUAAGUCUAUAGCAACUCUGUCGGUUGGUGUUCAUGAGUGUGAGCUUAAUACAGCAAUGUUUGAGUAGUACAAAAAUGUUUUCGCUUUUGUGGUCGCCAGCUGUCCGUGAUCUGUAAAGUGAAAAUACACAGAGCUAUGAAGCAUACAAAUGUUUCGAAAUUUUAUCAAUGAUUGUAUACUAUGCAUGUUUUGAUUUAGUUCGUUUCAGAUUUGACAUGAGAUGAAAACCUGACAUGAUUUGAACAGAGCUGGGAAACGAAAAGGUAAGUCUGUUUCAUUCCACUAUGAACACUUGUAUUUUGACAAAAGAAGAGAUAAAGUGAGUUACUUUAUCAUCAUGGUUUCAUUUAGUGAACAGAGGUAAACCUAGCUAGCUUUUCGUGUACUCUAUUUUGGAUGAUGAGUAUGUCAGUAACUUUAAUUGUACGGCUAGUAAAGUAUGAACAUGAAUGCUUUGUUCAGAUUUUCAGAUGUGUGCUGGCAGUUCAAGUCUGGCAGCUGGAGUGAACAGUCGUGUUUUCUGGAGCUCCAACAAUAUGCUAGAAGGUAAGUAACUAUGUUUGUUUUGCAUUGCAUGUUUUUAUAUGUUUCAGACUUUCAAGCAGAGAUGUCAUGCUGACUGGAGUUGAGCACAGGGCAGUGACAAAGUGAAAGGUAAGUACUUUUGACUGAAUGUUUGUUCUAUGCAUGUUUUGUUUUAAUACAUUUCAGGAGUGCUUAUCCAGUGAUGAUAUGACAGUUGGAGUGAACAGUGGAGCCAAGCAGUCUUGUUUUUGGAGCUACUCAACAAGCCUUGAAGGUAAGUUUAGAAUUUCUCAAUGUUAGUGAAUUGAAGUACUGUCACUUGCUUUUGGACAGUCGAACAGAACAGACGUGGUUGCGAGAGCUCUCAUAUCUGUUGUGUUAAACUGUUUUUAUGAUAUGUUAUGUUUGUUUGUUUGUUUGUGAUGUACUAUUUUUCAGAUGCUGAUGGCAGUGAUGGGUUUUCAAGCUGACCUGAACAGAAAAGCACUCAUAUGGUAAGUACAAAAUAGUUGUUAUAUGGGAUGUUUUGUGCAUGCUUUUAUGUUUCAGGUGUACUUGCUGACAGCGACGAAGACGAAUCAAGAAGAGGAACAUUGUUGAGAAAGUGAUUGGGACUUGAAAACAGGGUAAGUGUAACACUUGUGUUUGUUUAAUUUGUAACAUGCGUGCUUUGCUCUGUUUCAGAUUUCACAUGCAGAAAUUAAACAGGAUUUCAACUGCUGAGACACAAAUCAUCAAAAGUAAGGUAAGUUUUAAUCCAUUGAUUUGAGUUGUACAAUGUGUUCUUUACUUUAUUUCAGAUUCGAGUCACUGGUUUACACAUGGAAGAAGAUUUCCACGUCUGUUACUCAACUCUACAGAAGCAAGUUGAUGUCCAGAUGGCAAGCAGUACAGACGUGUUUCUUGGAGCUGCCAAACAGUGAGUACAAACGUUUUAUAUUUUUCAGUUGUUUACUCAUAGAAGUCUGUGAAAGAUGAUAACAAGGGUUGAAUCUAUCAGCACUUGUGUCUAAAAAUGCUGAUGUGUGACGGUUUACUGAAAAGGGUAAAUGCUAGCCAGUACUUACACUUGAGCAACCGUGGGAUGUCGAACUAACUGAUGAUGUACUAUGAUGGUGAACACUUACUAUGUGUAUCAAAAUGCUUUUGUUGAUAUUUACUAUAGAUGAUUUGAUAUUGGUUAACAUUUGUUUGCAUGCUGUUAACAUUUCUAUUUCAUUUCAGGGAGCUGUGGUGAGUAUUGUAGUAUACAUUUGUUUCAAUAAACCAUGAUUAAUGAAAACUGAUUUCGAUUCUUUUUUACAGUUUUAGGGAUUAUCACUCUAUAACAACUCUGUCGGUUGGUGUUCGUGAAUGUGAGCUUAAUGUUUGAGUAGUACAAAAAUGUCUUUACUUUUGUGAUCGCCAGUUGUCUGUGAUUUAAAGUGAAAAAUACACAGAGCUAUGAAGCAUACACUUGUUUCAAUAUUUUAUCAAUGAUUCAUCAAUGAUAGUGUGCUAUGCAUGUUUUGAUUUAGUUCGUUUCAGGUAUGACAUGACAUGAAGAGUUGACAGUCGAACAGAGCUGAGCAACGCAGAAAGGUAAGUGUGUUUCAUUUUAGUAUGAACACUUGUAUUUUGUUUUUAUAUGGUAUGUUUUGUGCAUGCUAUGUUUCAGGUGUACUUGUAGUCAGCGACGAAGACGAUUCAAGAAGAGGAACAUUGCUGAGAAAGUGAAUGGGACAUGCAAACAGGGUAAGUGUUACAAUUGUUGGUUUGAUUUUUACCAUGCAUACUUUGCUUUACUCUGUUUCAGAUUUCACAUGCAGAAAUGGUCUCAUAGCAGUGCCAACAGUGAAUAAGGAUUUCAUCUGCUGUGAAACAACUCAACAGAAAGUAGGUAAGCAUUGAAUGAAUGCACUUGAGCUGUACAAUUUGAUGUGAUGCUUUUCUCUGUUUCAGAUUCAAGUUCCUGGUGUAGACAGAGAAAUGUGUUUGAAGAAGGAAUUCUACUACUGUGAUUCAACUCUACAGAAGCAAGGUAAGUAGAAACAAAAUUUUGGUUUAAUUUAACUCAUGUGUUUUGCACUGCAUGCUAUUUUUCAGGUCUCUCAUGCAGUGAGGGAAAAGAAGAAGAUUUCAAGAAAAAAUCACUGCUGCAACUCAGGCCGAUAACAAGGUAAGCGUUUACUAUAUUGUAUACAAAAUGUUUUUCUGUUUUACUCUGUUUCAGGUUUCAAUUGCAGAGAUGUUGCAGAGAUGAUUUGACAGCUUGUGGCAGAAAAGAAAUUCAGCAUCUGUUUCUCGACUCUAGCCACGAGGUAAGUCAAAACAAAUAUACUGGUUUGUAUGUAAUGUUGUUAUGCCCUUCUAUGUUUCAGACUUACAUUGCUGUGACUGUUCCACAGUGGGUCAAAAAAGAGACGAAUACAGGUUUCAAGAAGAAAAUUGGCUGUUAAAAACCUGCACAAAAUAUGAGGUAAGUAAACUACUCUUUUGGUUUGUUUUGUGCUUUGUUAUGCUUAACUAUUUUUCAGAUUGGAAUGGUGGGUCGUUACAGAGCAGACUUUUGGACUACUGAGAAGUUGAGAAACAGAGAAUGAUUCAAGAUCAGCUAGGUAAGUCUUGAUUAUUAUGCAUUGCUAAAUGUUUUUUUCAUUCCAGUAUGGCUGUGGUAAGUACACAAACUUUCUAUAAUUUAAUAUUGAACUGUUUUUAUGACCUGUAUUCUGCAUUGUAAAAUGUCUGUUUUUCAUUUCAGUAUCCUGUGGUAAGUACACUAACUUUGUAUAAUUUCAUAUUGAAAUGUUUUGAUGACUUGUAUCCUGCUAUGCAAUGCUUAAUAUAUUUUUCAUUUCAGUGUGGCUGUGGUAAGUACAAUUGCCUUCUUUAAUUUUCAUAUUGAACUGUUUUGAUGAUUUGUAUACUGCUAUGCAAUGCUUAUUGUUUUUUACAUUUCAGUGUGGCUGUGGUAAGUACAAUUGCCUUUCAUAUUGAACUGUUUUGAUGACCUGUAUUUUGCAUUGUAAAAUGUGUUUCUUUUUCAUUUCAGUAUGGCUGUGGUAAGUACACAAACUUUCUUUAAUUUUCAUAUUGAACUGUUUUGAUGACUUGUAUUCUGCUAUACAAAAUGUGCUUUUUUCAAUUUCAGGUCAGCAAUGGUAAGUAUAGUGUGUUUUUUUAUGUAUAAUUUUGUAUACAUAUUGUUUUUUUUCAUCAUAGCAUGUAUUUUAUAUUUAUGCUUUGUGUAAGUAAAAUGUUCAUAAAUCAUUCUUAUCUUCAAACUAAAAAUGUAUUGUGCUAUGCAAAAUGUCUGUAUGAUUUCAGUUGCCAGAGGUGAGUACCAUUACAGUUGAAAAGUUAGUUUUGUUUAGUUAAAGUUUUGGUUCACAGUUCUGUUUGUUAUUUGGCAAAAUUUACAUGUAUGCAUUGAGUCUUGAUUUCAGCUCGAUUGUGGACUGAAGAAGAUUGCCCGCAGAGGGAUUGGAUACAAAAUACAAAGUAAGUACUGAGUUUCUUACUAAAAGUUUUGAGUUGUAUUCAUUGUAUGUUAAUAUGCUAUGAUUGCUAUGAACAUGACUUUUGUAUUUCAGCGAAGACAACAUAGGUAAGUAAAAUUGUUAUCUGUUUCAUGUUUACUGUUACAGUUCAAUAUUGUGUUUAUAAAUUGUAAGUUGUACAAACACAUUCAAAAGUUUCUAAUCAUGCUUUCGAUUUCAUUUCAGCUUUACUGCUAGACGAGUGUUCUCUACUACUUGACGAGUCAGCUUUACUACCAGGCGAGCAGUGACAACAAGGCGCCUUUGUGGAAACAACACAACAAAAAACUGUACUGCUAGACGAGCAGUGACAGAAAGGCGCCUGAACAUGCAACACAAAACAAAAAAUGCCAAUAUACAAACCUUGAUGUGAACACCGAGUAGUCAAUGCAUACGUGUGGCGUACAGCUGCGACAAAACCGUGGGUCCAUCGCACCGAUAACUCGAACAUUGGACCGCGUAUGGACAUCAGUGCAACUUUGUGAAUCCAUGUAACUUUGUGAAUCCAUGUAACAUUGCGAAUAUGUGUCGAUCGAAAAAUGUGUACAUUCUGCACUGAAACGAACUCGGUGUUGCAAGUGGCAAGUGUUGACAGUGUGUAUGUUUAUGUUUAUGUUUUUACAUGAAAACUAAAGGAGAUUGUUCUCCUACCUUUUUUUUCCUUGUUUUAUUGCGCUGGCCAGCAAUAUUGAUGUAUGUGUUUGUGUUUAAACUAUGCAAUACCAAAAUCAAACAAAAAUAAACAUUAACAGUCAUUAACUGUG